AAGCCAAGUGGUAGUAGAAUGGAACAGUUCCUGGGAGUUGUGAUUUUGUGUCUUCUAGUGGGCUGGGUGAGCGGCCAGCAGAUGAAACAGAGUCCACAGUCCCUGAGCAUCGAGGAGGGUGAAAAGGCUGUUCUGACCUGUAACUUUACUAAUUAUUCUCCAAUACUCGUACACUGGUACCGACAAGAUCUGGGACAAGGCCUCGUCUUCUUGGUACUGAUACGUGAAAAUGAGGCUGAGAAGCAGGCAGAAAGACUGAGGGUCACCUUUGAGACCACCCUCAAAAAGAGCACCUUGCAGAUUCCUGCCUCCCAGCCCACAGACUCAGCCACCUAUUUCUGUGCCGGAGACGCACAGCUGGGGCCAGCCACCAGCUUCCUGCACACAAACCCUGCCACACCCCCACAGCCCACAGAGCUGCAGGCUGUCUCUCCAAGCUCAGUUUCUGGAAAAAAUAAAGUGGGGGCCACCUGA